UGUAUGUAGUCACAACAACAAGGUUUGCAGCUUUUUAAAAUAUUUUUUAGUUAAAAAAAAAACAUAACAGCCUUCUGAAAAUGAAAGAACACUGAUGAAAAAUAUAUUUUGUUGAGAUACAAAAAAAUCCAAUCCACUUUAUUUGUAUAGCACAACAAAAAUGUUUCCAAAGUUCUGCACAAAACUAUUAAAACCAAUAUUCAAAUACGGCUCUGUGAUGAGGUGGCGACUUGUCCAGGGUGUACCCCGCCUUCCGCCCGAAUGCAGCUGAGAUAGGCUCCAGCACCCCCCGCGACCACGAAAGGACAAGCGGUAGAAAAUGGAUGGAUGGAUGGAGAUUCAAAUACUAUCCUUAGCUCCACCAAUGACUGAAUAAAAACAAAAUAAAUAAAUAUAAAACCAAUAUAAAAAUAAAUAUGAUUAAAAACGUUUUUAAAGGGUAAAACCAAUUAAAACAAUAAAUAGAAAUACAAACUUAAAAACACAGAGGACCACACAACUCACGCAGUGUUAAAAGCCAGAGAAUAAAAGUGGGUCUUAAGACGAGACUUAAAACAAUCCAUUGUGGGAGCAGUUCGAACAUGGAGGGGCAGAGUGUUCCAGAGCUUAGGGUCAACCACAGAGAAGGCCCCGUCUCCCCUGGUUGUAAGUCUCGUCUUGGGCACCACAAGCUCGAGCUGACUCUCGGACCUCAGAGCGCACGCAGGAGUGUACAUUUGGAUGAGGUCCGAGAUAUAAUGAGGUGCCAGUCCAAAAAUGGGAAUUUAUCCCAUUUUAAAGGUGAAUUUCGACUGAUACAUUCUCCAAAGCAGUAGGAGCAGUCUUUGUUUAUGGCACCUUCCUUUUGUACCAGCAAGUUGUCAUUUUCGAGGUCUAAUUUUUUACUUGGAAAGUUAGAGAAUUCUCACCACCCCCAAGUUGGCUUCAAAGAUGGCUGCUCUAGAUGUAAAAUAUAAUAAAAGCUUCCGUAAUAUCCGUUAGUAGUACUUUGGACUUUAUGUCACACUAAAUACAAUGUAUUGUUGGACAUAAAUAUAAUGUGACUGUUUUUUGCUAGCAAUAGCGUCUGUGUUUCUUCUUCAACCACCACGUUUGAAGGUUUCAGAAGGGCCGCAUAUUUUCCCGUAAGUUGUUGUAUUCAGAUAUGGCAAGAGCAAGAAUAGCUUUUGUGGAUGUGGCCACCUUGCAACUGGAAGGCUGUGACGUCAUUCCCAGCUCCGAACUCCAAUUUCCGAGGUAACUGGAGCGAACUAUUAGUACACUGUUAGCAGCUUUGAACCGAGACACAAGUUGAACACAAUUUGUAGCUAUUUGGGGACAGUGUUGUCAAUAGCUAGCACUAACUACUUUUAUCUGCGGUUGUCUCGCCCUGUUUACCACCUGUAUGUGGCUAAUUAAAUAUUAUUUUGAAGACAUCAAUUCUUAUUGAAUUGUAGCAAUGUUAGCUCAGUGGCUUAUACGCCUUCCAUCUUAGCUAAGCUAACUGUCUAAAGUCACAACAACAACAUUUCUUGUUGUUUUCAGGGCUUUGUUUUUUUUUUUGUAUAAAAAAAACGCAGCAGCGUUCUGAAAUUUAAAGAACACUGAUAAAUAAGUUAUUUUUUGUGGCGGGUACAAGAAUAUGCAUUAAAAGGAGUCAAACUUUUUGCUUUCAUGCAGAACGGCCCCAGGCCUAUGAACUUGAACACUACAUCAACACACCCAAGACAAUGGGCAUACACACACACACACCCCCUCACUCACCCCACGCCUUCACCACCGCUUGAUUCCCCUUCGGGGUGAUGGAUGGCUGGCAGCACUUCAUAGCAGCAGUCGACCUCCAGGGUCCCAACUCCCCCCCCCGUUGCGAGUUGUCGUGAUUAAAUGUAACAUAUUUAUGCGUGCAUGGCAUGGAGGUUUUUCCCCUACUACAGACUAGGCCCCCUUAGGAGCCCAGUCUAGAUUGUAUUUUUUUUUACUCAUCUUCUUCCCCAGGGUUUUACCUUUUUCCCACCUUUUACGGGGCGCCUCGUGGCGACCCAUCAGCGUUCCUGUUUUGUAACCCUGUACACUGUUUGUUUGUCUAAUCUUGAACGGGUUUGUGCUGAAAACAUAGUUUCGUUGUACUUGUUGCAAUGACAAUAAAGACCUAUCCUAUCCUAUCCUAUACAUCCUCCAGAACAGUAGGGGGCGGUAUCUUUUUGGUUGGCAGCCUGCUAGCAUCUUUGAAGCAAGAUUCAGUCAGGAGUUGAACAGAAUUAUUUUGCCUUGCAAGGGCAGUAUUAACAAUGGCUACCAUUACUAGCAAUAAAGGUUAAACUACUUUGUGGUGCAGCAGUGUUAGUCUUUAGCUAACUGUGCUAACAGUGUAAUGUGACUUGACUGUAGUUUUCUUCAAACAAACAGAUGAGCCUAAAAAGCUAGCUGUAUCCUGAUUAGGUGCUUAUAUUGUAAGAUGUAUUGUUUAGCCAUCUGACCAAUCAGUGUGUGUACAUUAUGUAACCACUCUCACAGCAUUCAUUCCUUUUGCCUGGAAAUCAUUUCCUCUCCGGCUGAGUGGAGUCGAAGUAAUACUCGAGGCCCGGCUGGCGUCCACCCACGAUUUUCACAAGCUUCCCUAAAAAGGCGAGCCUGAAAACUCCAACAGGAACACCUGCUGGGGUUCAAGAUGCUCCAUCACAGUCUGGUCUUCACGUGGAUCUUUCUGAAGCUGCACCACAAGAUGAGCCGGUUUCACUUUAGCAGCUGUGUCACGUUGCCACCAGCCCGCCGCCAAGAACCCUGUCCGCCCAACCAUCUUCCUUCCCAUAAUUGCCGUUAUCUGCCGAGAGAUUUGACAGCAGCCUGGCCGUGACCCCGGUGAGUCAUGUGUCCGUCUGUGUCGCUUUUGCUCGGCAACGCCACGCUAAUGAGCGUCCACUGCAAGGAUGGAGAACCUCUUUUGAAUUGAAGGAACUCUUGUUGACUAGACCUGAAUGGCACUCUGUCGGGUCCAGACCUCUGCCAAGGGUGAUUGCCAACAAUACACACCUGCAUACAAAUUACUUCAUUCUCCUCACCAUGCUGUGCAAAAAGCAUACAGACACUGCAGCAUUACACAUAAAAUACCAAACCAACUAGUACCAGCUGAAGCUAGUAUAUUUUGCUGAGGUUUUGGAUAAAGAUGCUGAUGCGGGAAUGUAUUUUUUUCCAAGCGUCCACUCCGCACAAUCAUAAUAGCUCGGUGUGUGAA